ensembl:lncRNA
CGGCAGACAUAUACACAUCAGAGGCAGUCUGCAGAUGGGUGAGGCGCGGCCCCUGGCCUUGCUGGGCUGGAAGGAUGCUCUGGGAGGUCUGGUGUACAUGCGUUUUGACUAGGCAGGACUUGCACCCCACCUUCCAGACAGACAGUGCUUCCUCGCCCAGAACUAGCCCCACUCAUUUCCUGCCUCUCCGCUGCUGGCUCUUGCUGGCGUCUGACCUCAGUGACCUUCACAGAGUUAACCAGGGUGAGAGUGGCACUCCUGAAAAAUGCCUGGACCUUCACGACUCUGCAUCAGCUGCUCCUAUCGACUGCGCGUGUGUACUUGUGUGCUCACUCUUUGGUGCAUCCGCGAUGUCCCUUUUUCUGCUGAUUUUUCUAAGGACUCAGUCACUCUCUCACCAGACGUUUCCUGCAAGAUUUCCAGAUGCCAAGCACUGGGCGAGACACAGAAAGCAGCUUCAGAAUCAUCAUGAAGGUGUGAGAACCAGUACUUCUCCACCUCCCUGUGGGUGAUGGCAGUUCUAAGGCAAAAUGGUGAUGUCAAGAUUUCAAGACUUACUUCGCUUCAUGGUGAAAUACUGGCCUUGACACUGUUAUUAGAGUUUAAAAUCUUCAGAAUUCAUAAAAUUUUAAAAAUUAGUGAAACAAUACGUGCAGUACUUUUCAAAAGCAUGCAUUUAUAAGCCUCUUUCAAAACAUUAAGGAAUUGUGUAAAUUAUUCAAGAAUAAACAUUAAUAUAUAGAGCUAUUAUAGACUAGA